AGUUCUGCUGCACCGCCUUCUCAUAGGGAAGCCUCUCGGGCGUCAGGAAGCUGGAGAGUGUCACCGAGCAGCUGUCCCCGAAGAGCCUGGGCAGGAGCAGCUGAUGGGCGCAUGCUCGAAGCCGCCCCUGUCCCACCCGUGAGCCAGCGGAUGGCUGGGGAAACGCUCUCCCUUGGCUAAGGCCGUGAGGACUGCCUGGCAGCUCAGCAGCACAGACCAACCUCUACCGUUCGCUCCCCAGCCCCUGGCCUGGCAGUGGCGGGAACUUUGUUCCGCGGCCCGGUUGGCCACGGCCUGGGUUUCCCUCCGGAAGGGAAGGGGAGAGCGCGCGGGUGUGGUAGGCCAAGGACCACACCUGCCGCGAAGGUUACAGUCGGUGAAGUAGAUCGGGGACACGAACUUCUCCACCCGCUCGAAAGUGGUGCGCCAGUGCUUCAAGAACGGCGCUGCCGCCAUGGCGAUGCGCCUUCCCUCCCCGGAAGAUCCUUGGUGCUGCCGGCUCGUUGCACCGCUUGGAACCAAAGGUUCCGGCAUCCAACCAGCUUACAGACCCGAGCAGCUUUUCUGGGAACACCACGGCUUUUGCAAGAGGCUGGCUCUGGGGAGCCUCCCAGUGAAACCCGGAAGCUGAGCCUUCGCGGUUCUCACCUCAGCCUUGCUGUCAGACAGCUGGGUAAAUUAUUUUAAAAUACAAUGGAGUCUGGAAGAAAAUAAUACAGGAGGAAUCUAACUAGCCUGCUUUAAUGGAAAUAACCAGGUUUACAUUCCAAAUGCAGGUUACCCAGAAAAAUGAUCAAGUAAGAAAUAUACAAUGCCAAUUAAAAUAACUUGUCAAAACUUG
ensembl:antisense Man2c1os mannosidase, alpha, class 2C, member 1, opposite strand